AUGAAGGCAUACACGGCGGCCGAGGACAAGCUUCUUUGUGAGUGUUGGAGGGACAUUGGGCAAGACCCUGAGGUUGGCGCCGAACAAAAGGCAUCAACCUUUUGGAUUCAUGUCCAUCGUGAGUUCCAUGAAUGGAAGAAGUUUGUGCCGUACCAAAUGCAUAACACGCGCGAGUGGGUGUCCAUUUCGAAGCGAUGGAGGGUGAUACAACAAGAGUGCAACAAGUUUUGUGCCACUUUUGAGAGCAUCAAGGCACGUCCCGUGAGCGGCAUCGGCAUGCAAGACAUGGUAUGCAUGUGCCCCUCUUUGUUUUCAUUCCAUUUAUGCUUGCAUGUCCAUUUGCAUAUCCAUUUGUCAAUAUGCUUGCAUGCUAUUACUUUGUAG
rnacentral:rRNA from 1 species